ACUCCUACGGGAGGCAGCAGGUGGGGAAUAUUGCACAAUGGGCGCAAGCCUGAUGCAGCCAUGCCGCGUGUGUGAAAGAAGGCCUUCGGGUUGUAAAGCACUUUCAGUUGUGAGGAAGGUGGUGUCGUUAAUAGCGGCAUCAUUUGACGUUAGCAACAGAAGAAGCACCGGCUAACUCCGUGCCAGCAGCCGCGGUAAUACGGAGGGUGCGAGCGUUAAUCGGAAUUACUGGGCGUAAAGCGCAUGCAGGUGGUUUGUUAAGUCAGAUGUGAAAGCCGGGGCUCAACCUCGGAACUGCAUUUGAAACUGGCAGACUAGAGUACUGUAGAGGGGGUAGAAUUUCAGGUGUAGCGGUGAAAUGCGUAGAGAUCUGAAGGAAUACCGGUGGCGAAGGCGGCCCCCUGGACAGAUACUGACACUCAGAUGCGAAAGCGUGGGGAGCAAACAGGAUUAGAUACCCUGGUAGCACAGAG
rnacentral:rRNA from 1 species